rfam:Oryza punctata chromosome 4, whole genome shotgun sequence.
AAUAAGUGCAAUUUUACCAUGUUCAUGUCCAACAUUUGACCGUCCAUCUUAUUUGAAAAAUUUUUAUGAUCAGUAUUUUUGUUGGUAUUAGAUGAUAAAACAUGAAUAAUACUUUAUGUGUGACUAAGUUUUUUUAAUUUUUUUAUAAAUUUUUUAAAUAAGAUGGGCGGUUAACAUACGGAUAUUUACGGUUACGCUUAUU